UACGAAGGGGGCUAGCGUUGCUCGGAAUCACUGGGCGUAAAGGGCGCGUAGGCGGCCAUUUAAGUCGGGGGUGAAAGCCUGUGGCUCAACCACAGAAUUGCCUUCGAUACUGGGUGGCUUGAGUCCGGAAGAGGUUGGUGGAACUGCGAGUGUAGAGGUGAAAUUCGUAGAUAUUCGCAAGAACACCGGUGGCGAAGGCGGCCAACUGGUCCGGAACUGACGCUGAGGCGCGAAAGCGUGGGGAGCAAACAGGAUUAGAUACCCUGGUAGUCAAGGGCGAAUUCGC
rnacentral:rRNA from 1 species